rnacentral:rRNA from 1 species
AAUAGAUGAGCCUAAGUCGGAUUAGCUAGUUGGUGGGGUAAAGGCCUACCAAGGCGACGAUCUGUAGCGGGUCUGAGAGGAUGAUCCGCCACACUGGGACUGAGACACGGCCCAGACUCCUACGGGAGGCAGCAGUGGGGAAUAUUGGACAAUGGGCGCAAGCCUGAUCCAGCCAUGCCGCGUGUGUGAAGAAGGCCUUAUGGUUGUAAAGCACUUUAAGCGAGGAGGAGGCUACUGAAGUUAAUACCUUCAGAUAGUGGACGUUACUCGCAGAAUAAGCACCGGCUAACUCUGUGCCAGCAGCCGCGGUAAUACAGAGGGUGCAAGCGUUAAUCGGAUUUACUGGGCGUAAAGCGCGCGUAGGCGGCUAAUUAAGUCAAAUGUGAAAUCCCCGAGCUUAACUUGGGAAUUGCAUUCGAUACUGGUUAGCUAGAGUGUGGGAGAGGAUGGUAGAAUUCCAGGUGUAGCGGUGAAAUGCGUAGAGAUCUGGAGGAAUACCGAUGGCGAAGGCAGCCAUCUGGCCUAACACUGACGCUGAGGUGCGCAAAGCAUGGUGGAGCAAACACGAUUAGAUACCCUGGUAGUCCAUGCCGUAAAACGAUGUCUACUAGCCGUUGGGGCCUU